ACAGCCCGCCAGCACAAACAAAAGCAACAGGACGCAAAAGCUUGUGGAUUGUAAUUUGGAACAUCCCCACACCUCCAUGGGGUAGCCGUACUGACACCGUGGAUUCCUUGGACAAAACCCUCAUCAUGAAAUACAACCAGAGGCCAAAAGGGAUCCCAUAUCCAUGACUUCUUGAGGACAUGUGGCAGUAAAGUGGUGGGAACCUGACCAUGGGUGACUGGAACCUCCUGGGCAGCAUCCUGGAAGAGGUCCAUAUUCAUUCCACCAUUGUGGGCAAGAUAUGGCUGACCAUUCUCUUCAUUUUCCGCAUGCUGAUCCUGGGGGCGGCCGCUGAGGACGUUUGGGAUGAUGAGCAGUCUGAGUUUGUCUGCAACACUGACCAGCCAGGCUGCAAGGCAGUCUGCUAUGACCGUGCCUUUCCCAUCUCGCUCAUUCGUUUCUGGGUGUUGCAAGUCAUCUUUGUCUCGGCGCCCUCGCUCGUCUACAUGGGCCACGCCCUCUACUGUAUUCGAGCCCUGGAGAAGGAGCGUCAUCGAAAGCGGAUCCAGCUGAAGGAGGAGCUGGACGAGGCAGAACUGGCACUGGAUGAGCACAAACGAAUGGAGAGGGAGCUGAGGAGGCUGGAUGAGCAGAGGAAGGUGAAAAAGGCACCUCUCAGAGGCUCCCUCUUGAGAACAUAUAUCAUCCAUAUCCUUACACGCUCCGUGCUGGAGGUGUUUUUCAUCCUGGGACAAUAUAUACUCUAUGGUGUACAACUGGACCCCCUUUAUAAAUGUGAGUGGAUGCCUUGCCCAAACAGUGUAGACUGUUACAUCUCCAGGCCAACUGAGAAAACUAUCUUCAUGGUCUUCAUGAUAGCCAUUGCUGGUGUCUCUCUGUUGCUCAACAUUCUGGAAAUAUCCCACCUUGGUAUCAGGAAAAUCAAACAGAGCCUUUCAGGAGAGAGGUAUAUGGAAGAUGACAGUUUGAUUUUCAAGUCUAAGAGGAAGGUAUCAUUAUCACAUCAGUGUGUGAUGAGCCAUGUGUCACCUUACACUGGACAUUUGACUCAGACCUUCAAAGUCAUACCAGAAGAAGACAUAAAGCCUCCUCAUUACUCUGGGUUCAAAACCAGCCAGGAGACCCAAGGGAACAACAGCAUGGCUUAUGUGGGGCACACACAGACCGGCUACAUUUGCCCCCAACCCAGAACACCAAACAAAUCUGUCCAGAACUGUGUCAACACCCAAGUUCAGCAAGGUCCAGAGGUCCUCACAACAAUAGCGGACCACCAUCUUGGUUGGCAAUCUAUGGUGUCCAAUGUGGAGACAAGUGUAUCAAGCCUCCAGGAGUAUACCCACCUGGGACAUUAUAAAGACACUCUUCUGUCCAACAGUCAAACACAACCGUGUUCGGCUGACCACCUUGACAAGGGGGAUAGGAGGGACUCAAUGGGGAGUGAGCUCCUCAUCCACAAACCUAAAAAAAACAGCUUUAUGAUCAGACCCCCAUCUGAAAGCUUGUCAUCAAUCAGUGGUUCCACAAGUCCCUCUUUGCACUCCUCAGAAGAAUCAGAUGAACUUGGGUCACUGCAGGGGGACAUGCCCAUGAUGCCACCUGCUGGAGGGAGAAGAAUGUCAAUGAGUGUGUUUCUGGAUAUUUCAUCCAUCAUGAAGAAGUGAGGAAAGAAACGCUAUCAACAACAACAACAACGGUGACGGUGAUGAUGAUGAUGAUGAUGUAGCCAUCAUGUCACACGGGGAUGAAACAGGUUCUGGAUGCAGUCCAGCUUCCUCUUGCGGCAGCGCUGGGCAGCGAUGCGGUUUUUACUGCGGCGGCGGAUGUCAUGAAUGAACUCCAGCUGCUCUGAGGUCAACUUGUGCAUUUUGACGAGGAUCUGGAAGUCGUUGCGUGGCAAGUUGGUGACCUGGUCCACGGGGAAAGGGAGCUUGACCUGAACGCAAACAAGUUCAUGUUGUUUGUGUGCUCACUUCUUGUGAAAUAUCAAAGAAUAAACAACAGAUACAUUUCUUACUCCUGUUUGUGUACUCUCAGUUUCUUCAGACUUUUAUCAAAAAUAUUUCAUCAUGAAUGCAGUAAACUGUGAUUUGAUCAGUGCAACUGUAAAAACAAUAAAUGAGCACCGACCAAUUUUAAACCUGUAAAUCAUGUACAUUUCAUCAAAUCGUGAUCAAUUAUAAUAUAUACAUAAAUACAGACUAGAUAAUAAUCAUUAUACAGACUAAAUGUAACAGAUACAAAACAAACAUGUAUUAUCAUGUCUGAAAUGUUUUUGUUUAUGGGUUAAUUUCUCCCAAAUCCCGAUUUUGUGAUUUGUUUUGGUUUCUUCUUAAGCUAUAAUUUAACAUUUGUAACUUUAUUUUCGUAUUUCCUUUGUCAUGGUAUGAGCUUUUAUUUUGAAGGUUUAGGGGAUGUCGUACUGUUGCUCACGUUGUCGGUCGGUCCAUUUUUGUGCUGGCUGACAGGUACGUUGGAGUGGGAGCAACUAAGUUCUGUAAUAACAUUUCAGUGGUUAACAUUUUUUAUAUUAACCAGAUGGAACCCAUGUUCUUACUUAUUUAUGUUUCUUCAAUAAUAUGUGGUGUAGUGUGGUUUUGGUGAUGUUUUUGACUGUGGGAGAGCAAGCUAACUAUUUAGCUAGCAGCUACGUUUUUGUCUCCUAUUGUAUGGAAUCACAGGAGUGCCAAAAUUAAAAGGGAAUAGUGUGAAAAUACAAAGAGAAUCAAUAAUAAAAAAACGUACAAAUGUAGAAAUACAAAGAGAAUCAAUAAUAAAAAAUAUACAAAUGUUGUCAUAUUUUUUUUCCAUUUUGUCAUUGUUUUUCCUGUUUUGUAUUUGUCUUUUCCACUUGCGUUUUGUCAUUGCAUUUAGUAAUGACAAAGACAAAAGAAUGUUUUCUGUAUUGUCUUUCUUUUUUCCAUUUUGGCGUCGCUUUUCCUGUUUUGUCUUUGUCUUUUCCAUUUGUUUUUUCAUGUAGUAAUGGCAAAUUCUCUCCUAUUGGGGCUGUGCUUGAGCGUGCUAUCGUGCGUUGUGCUGAAUGUGCCUUAUUCCUGUACAGGUGUGUCCCAUUACAUCUGGCAUUUCAGAAAAAGAACAUCAUAGCAACAGUAAACUAUGGUGGUGGUAGUGUGAUGGUCUGGGGCUGUUUUGCUGUGAUAAAUGGAAGCAUGAAUUCUGCUCAAGCUGAAAGCAACUUGGGUUCUGCAGCAGGACAAUGAUCCAAAACACACCAGCAAGUCCACCUCUGAAUGGAUGAAGACGUUGGAGUGGUCUAGUCCAAGUCCUGACCUGAAUCCUAUUGAGAUGCUGUGUCAUGACCUUCAAAAGGAAAAGCCUCCAAUGUGGCUGAAUGACAACAAUUCUGAAAAGAUGAGUGGGCCAAAAUUCCUCCCCAGCGCUGGAAGAGACUCAUUGCAAGUUAUCACAAACGCUUGAUUGCAGUUGUUGCUGCUAAGGGGGGCCCAAACAACUAUAUUACCUUUAGGGGGCAAUCAUUUUUUCAC